rnacentral:tRNA from 2 species
UCCUCAGUAGCUCAGUGGUUAGAGCGGUCGGCUGUUAACUGACUGGUCGUAGGUUCGAAUCCUACUUGGGGAG